CUGCUUUUGUGGGAUCCAUUCCUGAAGAAAUUGAAAUACUUUCUCUUAAGGUUUCCUGAGAAGGAAGAACAAACAAAUAGAUAAAAGUGAGUCUCUGGAGGCAUCCGAUUUUCUGGCCCAGAUGCUGAGUGAUCUGGAGAGACGCCGUGGGAUGGACAGAGAGCCUCUAUGGAAGGCGACAUUUCCUGAAGGAAGGGAGGCAAUGCCAGGCACGGGCACAGGAGAUUGGGAUCAGGACAUGGAUUAUCUGAAAGCCUUGGCACAGGACAGUUUGAAGUCCUUGGAGAAUGCCGGAGAUGAACCUGUUGGUGAAGGUGAUCUGGCUUCCCAACCCACAUCCAGGACUGAGAUUCAGGGUGCUGGUGAGGUGAUAGAGCAAAAGUCUGUGCUGAAGGAAGCAUUUCCCAGAGGAAGCAGUGGCUCGGUGCCAGCCUCUCCUGCAGGAGGGACAGCGAUGCCAGGCACGGGCACGGGCACAGGCACAGGAGGUGCUGCCGGCACCUCAACACAUGUUCCCAAUUCCCAGAAGGAAGAUGGAAAGGGUUUCUGUCAGGAUAUACACUGCUGGCUAAAGUUAAUGGCAUUUCUGGUUGUUUUGGAGCUUGUCUUCAUGUCAUGCUGUAUCGGAACCUGGUAUUACUGGAAGAGAAAACGGAGCGCAUCUGCAGCUUCACAGGACCGGACAAAGCCAUCAGUUGGAGACACCUUUGCCUGUCAUCGGCCAUCCCCAUGCCAGUGUCAAUUGGCCCUGUCACAGCUGCCUUUCCAGCUUGUUGCUCUGCUGCCACCACCCAGAACAAGACCCUCUGUCCCCAGAGGUGCUGGCCCUGGUGUUCGGCCAGGGCUGAAGGUGGCCCCCUCCUUCCAGGGAGUUUGAGUCCAGCAGCACCUUUGGGGUUCAGCUCUGGUGUCUGGGUUGUACCACCAGCACUGGCUGAGCUCCUUGUUUGGGGACAGCCAGUGCUGGGUAAGCAGCAGUCAGGCAUCAGGCUGCUAAGACACAGCCAUGUAGUUUUUUCUUAAUUUUUCAUUUUUAGAAAUUAGAAAUUUUUAGAAAUAUUUAGAAAUAUUUCUUGUAUAUUGAUAUCCCCAAAUAUUUUUCCUUAUUUC
rnacentral:lncRNA from 12 species